GAUGAACGCUGGCGGCGUGCCUAAUACAUGCAAGUCGAGCGAACGGACGAGAAGCUUGCUUUUCUGAUGUUAGCGGCGGACGGGUGAGUAACACGUGGAUAACCUACCUAUAAGACUGGGAUAACUUCGGGAAACCGGAGCUAAUACCGGAUAAUAUUUUGAACCGCAUGGUUCAAAAGUGAAAGACGGUCUUGCUGUCACUUAUAGAUGGAUCCGCGCUGCAUUAGCUAGUUGGUAAGGUAACGGCUUACCAAGGCAACGAUGCAUAGCCGACCUGAGGGGGUGAUCGGCCACACUGGAACUGAGACACGGUCCAGACUCCUACGGGAGGCAGCAGUAGGGAAUCUUCCGAAAUGGGCGAAAGCCUGACGGAGCAACGCCGCGUGAGUGAUGAAGGUCUUCGGAUCGUAAAACUCUGUUAUUAGGGAAGAACAUAUGUGUAAGUAACUGUGCACAUCUUGACGGUACCUAAUCAGAAAGCCACGGCUAACUACGUG
rnacentral:rRNA from 1 species